UACGUAGGGGGCAAGCGUUGUCCGGAAUCAUUGGGCGUAAAGCGCGUGUAGGCGGCUCGAUAAGUCUGCUGUGAAAGUACAGCUCAACCUUGGGAUGCCGGUGGAUACUGUCGAGCUCGAGUCCGGAAGAGGAGUGUGGAAUUCCUGGUGUAGCGGUGAAAUGCGCAGAUAUCAGGAGGAACACCAAUUGCGAAGGCAGCUCGCUGGGACGUUACUGACGCUGAGACGCGAAAGCGUGGGGAGCAAACAGG
rnacentral:rRNA from 1 species